GGCCUAGGCAUCCAGAAACAAGAAAAAAGGAAGAACAAAGGGAAAAACAAGAAAACCUAGGUGAAAAUUCAAAGAAAAAGUGAAGAAAUCAAGGAAACAAGCUUGGUAAGUUAAAAUUUCUUUAAUUCUCCUUGAUACCUAGCUUACCCAUGCUUUUGUUCUUGAUUUCCAUGGUUGAAUAUUGAGUUAUCAUGAUGAAUUCAAUUCUGAAAAAUGGGUAUGGAAGAGGAAUUGUUGUUGGAAUAAUUUGAUUUUAGACUAUGUUAGUGUUUAGGGAUAGUUAAGCAUGGUUAUGAACAAAAACACAAAAGAAAUAUUCAAUUUCUCUAGGGUUCCUUGUUGGUCGAACCAUGAGGGCUGAAUAUCAAUGGGGGAUUGUUUUUAUUUCAAGGAAAAUGGCUUGGAAAUAUGAUGAAUUAAGGUGAAACAGUUAUGCAGAAAAAUUUUGGUGCUAGUGCACCAAAUGACCAAAUUUUUCUAUAAGGAACUGUGAGGGUUCUAAUGCUGAAUUUGGCUUUAUUUAAAUGGUAUGUGGUAAACUAAGGUAUUAGAGGAGAAAUGGAUUAAUUUGGAGGUGAUUUAGACAUAAUCACCAAUUAAUCGGGUGAUUGGUCGAAUUUAAUCAAUACCGCGAUUAAGCGGUAAUCGGACGUAUUUUUGCAUUUACGUAUCAAGCAUUAGUAAUUUAAAUUAGUUUAUAUCAAUGUAGGGACAAUAUAGUAAAUUCCUUGACUUUUUUAUUUGUCAAGGUAGUGAGACGUCCGAAAAAGACAAAGGAAUUGCUCCUGAGGGCUAUUAGUCCAAGUGCACCCGAAAUUUGGAUUUUCGAUACCGGUGAGUGGACUUGCAUUUCAAACUUGUUUUGGGGAAUAUGAAAGAUUCUAUCCAACUUGUCGUAGAAAAUGUACCUUGGGAAGAAGCUUUUAGCAAAAUGAUUUUAUAUUGUGAAAAUGUGCUAUAUAAUUGUUUAUGUGUUAUCACAAUAUGAUAAAAUGCAUGAUAUGCAUUGGAUGCUUCUUUGCAUGUUGAUUUGGACCCGACUAUGUGCGAGUAGGAGUGCACAUAAGCCGUUGCUGACCCGACUAUGUGUGAGUGGGAGUGCACAUUAGUCGUUGCUGACCCAGCUAUAUGAUCAUAAGCCGUUGCAUAUGUUGAUGAUGAUGAUGAUGAUGAUGGGAUGGUGUGCAUGUUGAUGAUGGGUAUAUGGUUGUAAAUGAAAAUAUGUAAGCAUUUGUUUUGUUGAAAUUUGGAAGUUUACAUGUGUUACAUGUUGUUAUUGUUAUUUUAGCAGGAUGACUUGUUUUAAGGGAAAAAUGAGACUUUUUCCUUGAUGUUCUGGUUCUCGCUGCAGGGAGAAUGAAGUUCGCUAUAGCGAGAAACUUUCUGUCCAUUUUGCUAACUUGUGGGUUUUUUCCAUAUUUCCCAUUUC
rnacentral:lncRNA from 1 species